rnacentral:lncRNA from 1 species
ACAAAUUCACGGGAUAUUCACAAAGAGAUCAACGAUCUUCAAAGUCUCAAUAAAUUCAUGGGACGAUCUUCAAAGUCCCAAUAAAUGUCCCAAUAAAUUCAUGGGACGAUCUUCAAAGUUCCAAUAAAUUCAUGGGAUAUUUAUAUAGAUCAAAAUCCUUUCUUCUUGGUAAUCAAAUAAAUCAAGAAGAUCCACAAAACCUACUUUCAUGGAGAUCAAAUCCAAAUAUACCUACAUUCAAGAAAUACGCCAAUAACGACCCUCGAAUUACGGAGAAAUCCAUAUCAAAUCCUACGUUCGAGAAAUACGCUACGACAACCCUCAAAUUAUGGAGAAAAUCAAGAGAGAAGAAUCAAGGGAGGAACAGAUUUGUACCCGCAUCGUUUAUCAAUAAAAAAAUUGUUGUUUCUU